rnacentral:rRNA from 1 species
UUUUUACCAUACAAGAGAUCGCGUACUUUGGAUUGAAAAAAGCUGUGAGGAAACUACAUUAAAGGAACUCGACUGGCCUACA